GAAAAUAUAGUUUAAAUAAAAUAAUUGACUUGCAUUCAAUAGAAAUUAUAUUUAUAAUUUUUUUUU
rnacentral:tRNA from 1 species